GAAUUGGCGGGGGAGCCCCACAAGGGGUGGAACCUGCGGCUCAAUUGGAGUCAACGCCUGGAAUCUUACCGGGGGAGACCGCAGAAUGACGGCCAGGCUGAUGACCUUGCCAGACUCGCGGAGAGGAGGUGCAUGGCCGUCGCCAGCUCGUGUUGUGAAAUGUCCUGUUAAGUCAGGCAACGAGCGAGACCUCUACUCCUAGUUGGUAUCUGGGCCUCCGGGCUUGGACCACACUAGGAGGACUGCCAGUGUUAAACUGGAGGAAGGUAGAGGCCACGGCAGGUCAGCAUGCCCCGAAACUCCCGGGCCGCACGCGGGUUACAAUGGUAGGGACAGCGGGAUCCAAGUCCGAAAGGAGGAGGCAAUCCCUUAAACCCUGCCUCAGUUAAUAU
rnacentral:rRNA from 1 species